rnacentral:lncRNA from 1 species
AAAUUUUUUACCCAAUUAAUUACAAUUAAGAAGAAAAUAAUUAUCUUUUCAAAUACUAAAAUUUUAUCAAAUAUAGCACAAUCUCUAAAGUACAUAUUUUUUAAAAACUACAUAGCUAUCAAAUCAAAACUCUUCAUAAAUUUUUUUCUUUCAACGAUUUGUAAUUUAUAUAAGGCUAAAUUACAUAAAACCUCCCUGUCAAAACGCAAUUUUUCACUUCCCCACUGUCAUUUAAAAACCUACACUUUGCCCCGUUGUAAAAUAAAAAAUGUUCACAGGGGGUUACAGUGUGUACUGUGAUGAUAAAAUGACCAUUUUGCCCCUCACCAUUUUCGUCUCCUCCCUCAUCUUCCUCAACAACAGCUUUGAUCGGCCGCGGUUUACGCCUCAAUCUGUUGCGGUUUCUCUCUAUUUUUUUCUCCACCUGCUCCCCUCUCCUCCUACACCCUCACCACCCCUCGAUUUUCAUGACAGUAGGGUGGAAAUCGAGAUGGGAGUAAAUGGAGAGGUGGGCAACAGCAACGAGAGGGCGAAGGCGAGGCGGCGGAGGAGGACGAAGGGGUGUUUGUGGGCGCAGAUGGGGAUGUGGGCGAGGGCGAGGCAGUAGAGGAGAGCGAGGCGGCGAAGCAACAGGGAAGAGAGCGGAGGGGUAUUUUUGGUAUAAAUAAAUAUUUUAUAACGGAAC